UACAUGAUUAUAUGAGUGUGUAAAAAUCAUCUUAUAGAUCUCUUGAAACAAGUGUCCCAAUAGCAUCGUAUUAUCAAGAUGGACAAGUACCCAACUCCCAUCCGUGCAAGAGUCCUACUGGAAGCUCUACUUCUUCUUCUCAUAUGUCAUGCUACUACUACACAAUGUCGAAUCAUCAAUGGCAUCGAUAAUGAUAAGAUCAAUUUACAUGGGUUGUGUGUCAUAGACAAACCAGUCCUUGGUGACUACUGUUGCAAAGUUAUGCAUGAGUGUUACAUAGACCUUCCGACGUGCCUUCAGGAGUGCAACAAACCUGCAGGCGUGGUAGCGAGGGCAACCCCUCCUUCACCUACCGUAUUCGGGACAAAUGGAAUUUGAUUGGAUAAUAAUAUGCAAUGUAUGAAAAAUAUUUGAAAUAAAAAGAAGUAUCUCUGUUUUUGUUAUAUUUUUCAUAUUGCAAUUUAAUUUUCGGCAGCUGUAGUGAGUAGGGAUCUUCGGGAUAACAAUAUACUAUUCUUCUUUUUCACUGGAUGAGAAAAUGACCACCUGGGAGCAUGCAGAAUUUUCAUUACUCAUGUGAGGACAUAAUUCUUGAAAAUAGGUUAGAAAUUGUGAAGCCUACUUUACUAUAUUGUGGAAGCAUUUA